AAGCCAUGCACGUCUAAGUACAGGCCACCACGAUGGUCGAAACUGCGAACGGCUCAUUAAAUCAGUCAUGGUUCAUUGGAUCGUACUAUCCUACUUGGAUAACUGUGGUAAUUCUAGAGCUAAUACAUGCAACGCAAGCUCCGACCCCUUCGCAGGGGGAAGAGCGCUCUUAUUAGAUCAAGACCAAUACGGGUGCUCGCACCCGUCCUCACUCUGGUGACUCUGGAUAACACGGUAGCCGAUCGCACGGCCGUCGAGCCGGCGACGCUUCUUUCAAAUGUCUGCCUUAUCAACUGUCGAUGGCAGGUGACCUGCCUGCCAUGGUAUUGACGGGUAACGGGGAAUCAGGGUUCGAUUCCGGAGAGGGAGCCUGAGAAACGGCUACCACAUCCAAGGAAGGCAGCAGGCGCGCAAAUUACCCACUCCCGACACGUGGAGGUAGUGACGAAAAAUAACGAUGCGGGACUCUUUGGAGGCCCCGUAAUCGGAAUGAGUGCAAUCUAAAUCCUUGGACGAGGAUCUAUUGGAGGGCAAGUCUGGUGCCAGCAGCCGCGGUAAUUCCAGCUCCAAUAGCGUAUAUUAAAGUUGCUGCGUUUAAAACGCUCGUAGUUGGAUCUCGGGUGCGGGACGGUUGGUGUCGCCCACAGUGGCGUCCACUGCCGUCGCCCCGUCGACGUCGUCGUCGUACUGGCCCGGCCGUUAACUCGGUCGCGGUUGGGGCGGGGGCGGCUCGGGGGGCGAGUUUCUUCCCCACCUAGCUCUGCCGGCGUCUCCUCGCGGUGCUCUUGACUGAGUUGCCCGGGGCGGCCGGACACGUUUACUUUGAGAAAACAGGAGUGCUCAAAGCAGGCAGUUCUCGUUGGCCAAUGAACGAGUUGUGCAUGGAAUAAUGGAAUAGGACCUCGGUUCUGUUGUGUUGGUUUCGGAAUGCCGAGGUAAUGAUUAAGAGGGACAGACGGGGGCAUUCGUAUUGCGUCGGGAGAGGUGAAAUUCUUAGAUCGCCGCAAGACGAACCACUGCGAAAGCAUUUGCCAAGAAUGUUUUCCUUAGUCAAGAACGAAAGUCAGAGGCUCGAAGACGAUCAGAUACCGUCGUAGUUCUGACCGUAAACGAUGCCGACCGGCGAUGCGCCGCGGUCGUAUCAAAAUGACCCGGCGUGCAGCCUUCCCGGGAAACCUAGAGUCUUUGGGUUACGGGGGAAGUAUGGUUGCAAAGCUGAAACUUAAAGGAAUUGACGGAAGGGCACCACCAGGAGUGGAGCCUGCGGCUUAAUUUGACUCAACACGGGAAAACCUACCCGGCCCGGACACCGUGAGGAUUGACAGAUUGAGAGCUCUUUCUUGAUUCGGUGGGUGGUGGUGCAUGGCCGUUCUUAGUUGGUGGAGCGAUUUGUCUGGUUAAUUCCGAUAACGAACGAGACUCUAGCCUGCUAAAUAGUUCGCCUGUCGGCCAUCAUGGUCGGCGGGUGUGGCGGUGUUGGCCGUCUGUUCGGCGUCGACUUAGUUGGAGGCGUCGGGCGGCGGUAUCCUCGCCGUCAACUGAACUUCUUAGAGGGACUAAUGGCUUUCAGUCAUGCGAGAUUGAGCAAUAACAGGUCUGUGAUGCCCUUAGAUGUCCGGGGCCGCACGCGCGCUACACUGAAAGAAUCAGCGUGUGUCUCUCUCCCGGUCCGAAAGGAUUGGGCAACCCGUUGAACCUCUUUCGUGAUUGGGACUGGGCAUUGUAAUUUUUGCCCACGAACGAGGAAUUCCCAGUAAGCGCGAGUCACGAACUCGCGUUGAUUACGUCCCUGCCCUUUGUACACACCGCCCGUCGCUACUACCGACUGGACGUCCCAUUGAAGCAUUUGGAUCGGCCCUCAGCUGACGGUCAGGAAACUGCCGUUGCUCGACGGGACGAGAAGAAGACUGAAAUGAGGCGUCUAGAGGAAGUAAAAGU
rnacentral:rRNA from 1 species